rnacentral:rRNA from 1 species
AUGAGCGUCCAGUCGCAGGGUGUAGACCCGAAACCAGAUGAGCUAUCCAUGGCCAGGUUGAAGGUGUGGUAACACACACUGGAGGACCGAACCGACUAGUGUUGCAAAAUUAGCGGAUGAGCUGUGGAUAGGGGUGAAAGGCUAAACAAAUCUGGAGAUAGCUGGUUCUCCCCGAAAACUAUUGAGGUAGUGCCUCGUGUAUGACUCCAGGGGGUAGAGCACUGUUAUGGCUAGGGGGACAUGGCGUCUUACCAAACCAUGGCAAACUCCGAAUACUUGGAAGUUUGAGCACGGGAGACAGAGCACCGGGUGCUAACGUCCGGACUCAAAAGGGAAACAACCCAGACCGCCGGCUAAGGUCCCUAAUAUUGACUAAGUGGAAAACGAAGUGGAAAGGCUAAGACAGUCAGGAAGUUGGCUUAGAAGCAGCCAUCCUUCAAAGAAAGCGUAAUAGCUCACUGAUCGAGUCUUUCUGCGCGGAAGAUGUAACGGGGCUAAGUCAAUAACCGAAGCCGCGGAUUCACACUUGUGUGUGAGUGGUAGGGGAGCGUUCUGUAAGCCUGCGAAGGUGACUCGUAAGGGUUGCUGGAGGUAUCAGAAGUGCGAAUGCUGACAUGAGUAACGUUAAAGCGGGUGAAAAGCCCGCUCGCCGUAAGCCCAAGGUUUCCUGCUCUACGUUCAUCGGAGCAGGGUGAGUCGGCCCCUAAGGUGAGGCUGAGAAGCGUAACUGAUGGGAACAAGGUUAAUAUUCCUUGACCACCGCUGAAUGCGAAGGGGGGACGGAGUAUUGAAGAUCAUCCGGGUGUUGGAUAUCCCGGUUUGCGAGCGUAGGAGGCUGACAGGCAAAUCCGUCAGCGAAUCUCCGAGGCGAAGCAUCGAGCUCUCUUUUGAGCGAAGUGAUUGGAUGUGCUUCCAGGAAAAGCCUCUAAGCUCCAGUUCAGCGGGACCGUACCGCAAACCGACACUGGUGGGCGAGCUGAAUAUGCUCAGGCGCUUGAGAGAACUCAGGAGAAGGAACUCGGCAAAUUGACACCGUAACUUCGGGAUAAGGUGUGCCUUUGUAGCGUGGAGGGAGAAACACCCCGAGCGCGAAGAGGUCUCAGAUAAUCGGUGGCUGCGACUGUUUAUUAAAAACACAGCACUCUGCAAAGACGAAAGUCGACGUAUAGGGUGUGAUGCCUGCCCGGUGCUGGAAGAUUAAUUGAUGGGGUGCAAGCUCCUGAUCGAAGUCCCAGUAAACGGCGGCCGUAACUAUAACGGUCCUAAGGUAGCGAAAUUCCUUGUCGGGCAAGUUCCGACCUGCACGAAUGGCAUAACGAUGGCCACACUGUCUCCUCCUGAGACUCAGUGAAGUUGAAGUGUUUGUGAUGAUGCAAUCUCCCCGCGGCUAGACGGAAAGACCCCAUGAACCUUUACUGCAGCUUUGCAUUGAACUGUGAACCGAUUUGUGUAGGAUAGGUGGGAGGCAGAGAAGAGGCCACGCCAGUGGUCUUGGAGCCGAC